rnacentral:tRNA from 1 species
GGCUGGGUAGCUCAGUGGAUUGAGCGGCUGGCUUGCUCAUUGGAUUGAGAGCCAAGCCAUCAGGUGGGAGGUCCUUGGUUCGAAUCCGGCCUCAGCCA